rnacentral:rRNA from 1 species
GUCUACGGCCAUGCCACCCUGAACAAGCCUGAUCCCGUCUGAUCUCGGAAGCUAAGAGGUCGGACCUGGUUAGUACUUGGAUGAGAGACCACCUAGGAAGACCAGGUGCCGUAGGCA